rnacentral:rRNA from 1 species
UACGGAGGGGGCAAGCGUUGUUCGGAAUUACUGGGCGUAAAGGGCGCGCAGGCGGCUGCUCAAGUCAGGCGUGAAAGGCCUGGGCUCAACCCGGGAAUUGCGCUUGAGACUGGGCUGGCUUGAGUGCGGGAGAGGAUGGUGGAAUUCCCAGUGUAGAGGUGAAAUGCGUAGAUAUCCGGAGGAACACCAGUGGCGAAGGCGACUUUCUGGCCUGUUCUUGACGCUGAGGCGCGAAAGCUAGGGGAGCAAACGGG